rnacentral:tRNA from 1 species
GCCUGGCUCAGUUGGUAGAGCAUGGGAUGCUAAAUCUCAGGGUUGUGAGUUCAAGCCCCACACUGGGCA